rnacentral:rRNA from 1 species
AUGGAAGUUCUGCUUCAUAUGCCAAAGAAACUUAAAAUUCCAAUGAAUCUGCUAGAAUGGAUAGAUCAACAUAUGUUUGAAAGUAAAGAGCAUUUUUUCAAGCAUAAGAAUAAAGUUAUCAAGAUUACUAAUGAUAUGGUCAACAAAAUGUUCGAUGUCCCUGGUGGCACCGAGCCUUUUAUAUUCAGUAGUGACAAUCCCCAAGUGAAGGCAGAGGUUUCAGAGUUAAGGAACAAGUAUGUUGAUCAUCGAAACAAAAUGCCAAUCAACAAAAUAGAGGAGGUGAUGCUUAGUGAUGAGACAGAAGAUGGUUUUAUCAGGAGCUUCAUAUUUUAUUUCCUAUCAUCUAUUUUGUGCCCUGCGUCAUACUGCUUUGGUAACAUGAAGUUCUUGUACUCUCUAAGAGAUGUUUCUGCUAUCCCUUCACUUGACUUUGGGCAAUUGGCACUGGAUUUCAUGUGUGAGGAGUCAGAGCGUCACUUUGAAAUGAUCAUGAACAGACCAACUGUUGAGGAAAUGAACAAGUCUUCAUAUAUCGGGGGAUGUCUUCCUAUUUGGGGAAUGAUUUAUCUGGAUUUUGUUGAUUUUGAUAUUAUUGAGAAUCAUCAGUCAACUGUGGAUUACUCUCUUCCUCGGAUAUCUCAUGUGAAGACUGAAGAUUUCAAGUAUCUUGCAAUGGUUGAUAGGAAUUAUGAGUCUAGGAAAAAUUACGGGGUUUUACCACUGCGCGACAUAUGA